GAUGAACGCUGGCGGCGCGCCUAACACAUGCAAGUCGAACGGUUAAAGCACCUUUUAGGUGUGUAUAAAGUGGCGAACGGCUGAGUAACACGUGGGCAACCUGCCCUCCUCUUGGGGAUAGCCUCGGGAAACCGAGGAUAAUACCCGAUACUUCAAUGUGGCCGCAUGACGACAUUGAGAAAGCUUUUGCGGAGAAGGAUGGGCCCGCGGCCUGUUAGCUUGUUGGUGGGGUAGAGGCCUACCAAGGCAAUGAUGGGUAGCUGGGUUGAGAGACCGACCAGCCAGAUUGGGACUGAGACACGGCCCAGACUCCUACGGGAGGCAGCAGUGGGGAAUCUUGCACAAUGGGCGAAAGCCUGAUGCAGCGACGCCGCGUGCGGGACGAAGGCCUUCGGGUUGGAAACCGCUUUCAGCAGGGACGAGGCGAUAAGUGACGGUACCUGCAGAAGAAGCCCCGGCUAACUACGUG
rnacentral:rRNA from 1 species